rnacentral:rRNA from 1 species
CUAAAAACCUAGCCCAACAAACAUGAAUUUUACUAAAUUAACUAAACCCCNNUAACAAACCAUUUUAACAUUCUAGUAAAGGAGAUUGAAAAACUUAUUUGGAGCUAUAAAAACAGUACCGCAAGGGAACGGUGAAAUAUUAUGAAAAACUUCAAGCAGCAAAAAGUAAAGAUUACCUCUUGUACCUUUCGCAUCAUGGUUUAACUAGUUUAACCAAGCAAAACGUAUUUAAGUUUGACUUCCCGAAACUAAGUGAGCUACUUCAGGGCAGCUAGAAGAGCAAACCCGUCUCUGUAGCAAAAGAGUGGGACGACCCUCAAGUAGUGGUGACAGACCUAACGAACUUAGUGAUAGCUGGUUGCUCAAGAAACGGAUUUAAGUCCAACCUGAAAGUUUUAUAACCUAGUUCAUCAAAACAAUCACCUAGCUUUCAGCGUAAUUCAAAUAAGGUACAGCCUAUUUGAAGCAGGAUACAACCUAGCCUAGUGGAUAAGAUCAGCCUAACAUACAAUCAAGUGGGCCUAAAAGCAGCCACCUUUAAUACAGCGUCAAAGCUAAAUUGUAACCGAGCCCAAUUACUUAACCCAUAUCUUAAUCCCCUGCCAAUACUGAGUAAUUCUAUAAUAUUAUAGAAAUUUUUAUGUUAAAACUAGUAACAAGAAGAAGAUUCUUCUCUUAAAUGUACAUAUAAAUCAGAAAAGACAAGCUACUGAUACUUAACACCUCUGAGCAUAAAGUAGUAACUAACCAAGAAAACUCUACUUUUACUGGUGUUAAUCUAACACAAGAACAUUCUAAGAAAGA